rnacentral:rRNA from 1 species
UACGUAGGUGGCGAGCGUUGUCCGGAUUUACUGGGCGUAAAGGAUGCGUAGGCGGAUAUUUAAGUGAGAUGUGAAAUACCCGGGCUUAACUUGGGUGCUGCAUUUCAAACUGGAUAUCUAGAGUGCGGGAGAGGAGAAUGGAAUUCCUAGUGUAGCGGUGAAAUGCGUAGAGAUUAGGAAGAACACCAGUGGCGAAGGCGAUUCUCUGGACCGUAACUGACGCUGAGGCAUGAAAGCGUGGGUAGCAAACAGGAUUAGAUACCCUGGUAGUCCACGCCGUAAACGAUGAGUACUAGGUGUAGGAGGGUCCAACCUUCUGUGCCGCAGUUAACACAAUAAGUACUCCGCCUGGGAAGUACGAUCGCAAGAUUAAA